CCUUGUCUUUAUGGCACAGUGUGAGAUGCAGUGUAUGGAGUGUUCAAUUUCUAGUAUGAGAAAUUAACGAUUUAAGUCCUUCUUAAAUGAGGCCAUUUACCCAUAGAGGGUGCCAGGCCCGUAUAACGUUAAUGAUUACUAGAGAACAUUUCCAAAGAGUCGUGUUGCUUGAUAGUGCAGCACUAAGUGGGUGGUAAACUCCAUCUAAAACUAAAUAUAACCAUGAGACCGAUAGUAAACAAGUACCGUGAGGGAAAGUUGAAAAGAACUCUGAAUAGAGAGUUAAAAAGUACGUGAAACUGCUUAGAGGUUAAGCCCGAUGAACCUGAAUAUCCAUUAUGGAAAAUUCAUCGUUACGAUUGUUAUAUGAAUAAUAUAGCAAGAAUGGCGUGCAUUUUUUCCAUAUAAGGACAUUGUAAUCUAUUAACAUGCCGAUUUAUCAUAAGAUCAAUGGCUUUAGUUUAUUCAAAUUAGUAUGCUUGCGUAUUAACAUAGAAUAAAUGCUGUUGAUUUGAUAAAGUGUUGAUAGAUCUAUUAUAUAUAGCGCUUGAAUACUUGUAUUCUAUAAUGGCACAUUAAUCUUGAUUUUUGUGUUUAUUAUAUGCGCUUAUAUGAUUUACAAUG
rnacentral:rRNA from 1 species